UACGUAGGGUGCGAGCGUUGUCCGGAAUUACUGGGCGUAAAGAGCUCGUAGGUGGUUUGUCGCGUUGUUCGUGAAAACUCACAGCUCAACUGUGGGCGUGCGGGCGAUACGGGCAGACUGGAGUACUGCAGGGGAGACUGGAAUUCCUGGUGUAGCGGUGGAAUGCGCAGAUAUCAGGAGGAACACCGGUGGCGAAGGCGGGUCUCUGGGCCGUUACUGACACUGAGGCGCGAAAGCGUGGGGAGCGAACAGG
rnacentral:rRNA from 1 species